GACCUGAGCGCAAGGCUGACGGCUUAAUCUGCUGAGCCACCAGGCAACCCCUGGAAUAUGUUGUUUGCAAAGCAAAAUAUGUCCAGGUCUUUGUGAAGUUGCUGGACAUGGUCCUCUAGGACACGGGCACUGUACCGUUCGUGUCUCCUCCUCCCCGUGUGUGCACAUAGGUCUGUGCAAGACUACUGGCUCUGGGCCAUGGAAGAACUCUCUGAGUACCUGCACUAGCCCGUGUUCGUGCUUCGCCGUGCUGAGAGCAUCUGCCUGGGAGACCCGCCUGCUCACCGGCAGGUCAGAGCCUGUGCCAUUUGCUGUAUGAGCCCCGGCAUCACGUGCCCAUCCCAGGUGUGGGCACUUUCCCUCGAAGGCCCAGGAGCUGCCGUGUCCCGUCUGGUCUGGGCUUGGCUCCCAGCUUCUUCUCCGUCUCUCUUAUAUAGGCACUGAGGGCUCCACGAGUGAUGUUUGAGGGGCUGGCCGUGUGCGAACUACGGAUGGAUAGCUGCAUCCCAGCACCCAGGACAACCCAGCAUGCUUCUCUUCUGCAGAAGGUGUGCUGGAGCAGGCCCAUGGACCGGUGUGGGGGCCGGUAGGCAGGAGGGCCCUCCCUGGGGGGGUUGGAGUCUGGAAGGAGCGUUGGCAGGGGGCACCUAGGGAAUGUGCUGCUGGGAAAGAGUUAGGGGCACAGUUCAAGCAGCUUUGAAGAGAGACAGAGUUCUUCCAGCAGAGGAAAGCUGAAAGCCCUCAAUGCAGGGCUUGUGGGGAAGGCUGGGUGGCCACCGUUGGGUGGUGGAGUCAGUUCCCAGGGAGUGUACUGUGCCUUGUGUGAAUGUAGUGCAAAGUGCAAAUUGGAGUUUCCUCUGCAGCCAGCACUUAAAACUCUAGAUCUUUCUUUUCCCCACAGAGUUGAAGCACUGGGUCCUUCUGUCCUUUAUGUCCAUGCGGCCCUCCUGCUCUCUCCUCUCCUCGUUUGAGGAGGCUGAUUCUCUAACGUCCUUCGGGAGAGGACAAGGGUCACUAGGCGUCAGGGCUGAAAGCUGUUUUUGUGUGUGUUUUGGUUUUUUUUCCUCGGGUCAUCUAGCUUUGGGUGUUGGUGACAUUACGUGUACCGCUGGGUGUCGGAAAGGGCUUGUGGCUGAGGGUGGUGUGCUCCGCCGACAGCCUGUGGGCCGGGGGGCCACGUCCUGGACCGCCUGUCCUGGAGAGUGGGUUUUGGUGGUGAUAUUACCUUCGCUUAGGUUGUGCCACUGUGGUGAGAAGAGACACGAAGUUUCCCACACUGUGAUUUACCCACGGCGUUUGCCUCUGUUCGUUGCUCCAGCGCCUGGAUUCUGGCCACAUGCCCUUCUCUUGGGAAAGUUCUGUCUCCCUUCAUGCCACAGUGUGGAUGCACCAUCGUCUGUGAAAGGGACAAGACUGCCCUUUGAUGUUUGAUUCCUUUAAAUGAACAUCACUUGACAUGGGUAGCUUCUGCCUUAUACCCUUGUGAUCUUCAGCUGAUGUCACGGUGAAACUGCGUGUAACUGGAGGGUUAUUGCUGGUUCCCUCUCAUGAACUGUGCUGCGGGAAGCUGGUGUGGUCGCGUUAAUCGCAGCUUCCACUUCUCUCCCGCUGUAUUCACGCAUGGAAAGUCAUCCUGGAGAGUUGGACACGAUUCCGUGUGUCCCGAGAUCAGUGGACAAGCAGCUGACGGUGGUUAAUACGGGAACCUGUUCACAGACAGCGCCUUUCUCACGCUCGCAUUGCGCGCAGAUGAAUGAAAUCGGACCCCAGAGCCCGUGCCGCAGGGCCCUUCAGCAGGUGCGGUGACGUUCUGAGCGUCGUUACAGGAUGCACAGCCGUCACUGCCCAGGUCAGUCCUAUGCAUCGUUAGUACCCCCAAAAGAGCUUCCCUCCCCAUUAUCUCACGCCUAACUUCCCAGCUCUAGGGAACCUCCAGUCUACUUUGAGUGUCUGUAGUUUUGCCAUUUUCGACAAAAUAGUGGCAUUGGAGUCACGCCAGCUGUGGGCAGGGGUCUGGCUGCUUUGGCUCCGCACAGCCUCUGCCAGUUCGCCCGUAUUAGUGGGAGGUGUCAGCACCUCGUUCCUCAUGCUGAGUCCUACUCCGCUGUGUGGACACGCAACUGGCAUGAUGAAGGCCUGCUUCACGGACAUCCGGCUUGUCUGUACGAGGAACAGGGCUAUAAGUAUUUGUGUCUGUGUGAACACACGGCUCUGUUUCCUCGGGCGCAGCCCUGGCAGUGCCUGGCGGAAUCCGACACUAGCUCUGUGUUUAGCCUUUUGAAGACACCAUGAGACUUCUCCAGAGCAGCUGCCCCUGUGCACUAGCGCCCGGUGGGGUGCCGGUUUCUCUACAGCCUUGUCAAACACUUGUUACUGUCUGUCUUUUUGGUCAUAACCAUACUCCUGGUUUAGAUCGGCAUUACCCAAUGACUGAAAAUGUCGCAUAUUUUUUUCAUGUACUUAUUGACCAUUUGUACAUCUUCGUUGGAGAAAUGCCUGUUUGGACC